GGAAAGAAAAACAAGAAAACAACGAGAAAAACGAGAAAAACAACAACAACUUCUUCUUUCUCUUUCUCUUUUUUUUCCUCUCUUUCUC
rnacentral:ribozyme from 13 species